AAGAGAAAUACCAAAAACCGAAUUGCCAUGUACCUAAAGUAAUGCUUGAGAAGAAAUUUAUACGUGUAUAAAGCCAGUUGGUCAAAACUGAGAAAAGUCAAUAGUAGUACAAGUUUUUACGCGUUACCUAUAAAACGACGACGGCUACACGCGUCUUCCUCUUCUGCAAUUCCAUUUUCUCUCUCUCACACCUAAACUAAUUUCCUAAAUUGGACGUAAGCAUCUUCCCUUCUCUUCGCUCCUUUCUGAUAAAAGAGGAAGGAUUUCCGGUUGCACCAUAGGCCACAGACAGCUCACACGUCGGCUGCUUAGUGAUGUUAAAGUUCCUCAAAUGGAUAGGCUUUUGAAUUGCACGUUGAAACGUGGGAGGCCAAGGAAAUAGAUCAGAAGGAGUCCUCAACUGUGGUCAAUUUCGAUGUCACUUCUCACUCAGGUUAGGUAUAUGAAGUGAGUCUUGGUAGGCCUUUUGAGCUUCAUCUUCGUUCUGAAAAGAACAAAAGUAGACAUUGAAAUGGUAGGAAUUAAGUCAACUAGUUUAUACUGUCAUCUUUUGAGCUUCUUCAACUAGAUUUAGAUUCCACGUCUCAAUAGUUAUACAGAGAUUAAGCUUAUUGUCUAGUUAUAAAAAGAUUUAAGCCUCCAAUGUCGAUAGAGUUCAAGAAUCCUUAAUGUUAACUGCAAGCUACUUUAAAUAUUACAAGAAUAUAUAACAAGUAUUAUGGGGAUGUGAAGCAGGGAUCCAGCUGGGCAUUUUAACUACAGAGAUUGGGUAUGCAUGCACCUCCUCCUGGGUUUGUUGUUCUUUCCGUAUCCAUCUCCAUACUCGUAGCUUCGACUCUUUCCUGUCCCACCGAAGUUACGUUGCAUGAUGAGGCUAUCAUGAUUCAUGGCAACCUCUUACACUGCUCGGGGUGCCUUCCCAAAUGAGUUUCUUGUCAUUCCCCCCUAACUUCUAGGCUAUAUAACUGUAAAAUUAACCGAAUUAAUCGAAAUAUUUCGAUACGGUUAAUGUAUUUGAAAAAAAUUGAUUCAGUUAACAGUUAAAGAUUUUAAUAUAUUGGGUAAUUCGGUUGGAAUAUUAACCAAA